UGACCGCUGGCGGCAGGCCUACCACAUGCAAGUCGAGCGGAUGAAGGGAGCUUGCUCCUGGAUUCAGCGGCGGACGGGUGAGUAAUGCCUAGGAAUCUGCCUGGUAGUGGGGGAUAACGUCCGGAAACGGGCGCUAAUACCGCAUACGUCCUGAGGGAGAAAGUGGGGGAUCUUCGGACCUCACGCUAUCAGAUGAGCCUAGGUCGGAUUAGCUAGUUGGUGGGGUAAAGGCCUACCAAGGCGACGAUCCGUAACUGGUCUGAGAGGAUGAUCAGUCACACUGGAACUGAGACACGGUCCAGACUCCUACGGGAGGCAGCAGUGGGGAAUAUUGGACAAUGGGCGAAAGCCUGAUCCAGCCAUGCCGCGUGUGUGAAGAAGGUCUUCGGAUUGUAAAGCACUUUAAGUUGGGAGGAAGGGCAGUAAGUUAAUACCUUGCUGUUUUGACGUUACCAACAGAAUAAGCACCGGCUAACUUCGUG
rnacentral:rRNA from 1 species